rnacentral:rRNA from 1 species
GACGAACGCUGGCGGCGUGCCUAAUACAUGCAAGUUGAGCGCUGAAGGUUGGUACUUGUACCAACUGGAUGAGCAGCGAACGGGUGAGUAACGCGUGGGGAAUCUGCCUUUGAGCGGGGGACAACAUUUGGAGACGAAUGCUAAUACCGCAUAAAAACUUUAAACACAAGUUUUAAGUUUGAAAGAUGCAAUUGCAUCACUCAAAGAUGAUCCCGCGUUGUAUUAGCUAGUUGGUGAGGUAAAGGCUCACCAAGGCGAUGAUACAUAGCCGACCUGAGAGGGUGAUCGGCCACAUUGGGACUGGGACACGGCCCAAACUCCUACGGGAGGCAGCAGUAGGGAAUCUUCGGCAAUGGACGAAAGUCUGACCGAGCAACGCCGCGUGAGUGAAGAAGGUUUUCGGAUCGUAAAACUCUGUUGGUAGGGAAGAACGUUGGUGAGAGUGGAAAGCUCAUCAAGUGACGGUAACUACCCAGAAAGGGACGGCUAACUACGUG